GAUGAACGCUGGCGGCGUGCCUAAUACAUGCAAGUCGAGCGAAUGGAUUAAGAGCUUGCUCUUAUGAAGUUAGCGGCGGACGGGUGAGUAACACGUGGGUAACCUGCCCAUAAGACUGGGAUAACUCCGGGAAACCGGGGCUAAUACCGGAUAACAUUUUGAACCGCAUGGUUCGAAAUUGAAAGGCGGCUUCGGCUGUCACUUAUGGAUGGACCCGCGUCGCAUUAGCUAGUUGGUGAGGUAACGGCUCACCAAGGCAACGAUGCGUAGCCGAACUGAGAGGGUGAUCGGCCACACUGGGACUGAGACACGGCCCAGACUCCUACAGGAGGGAGCAGUAGGGAAUCUUCCGCAAUGGACGAAAGUCUGACGGAGCAACGCAGCGUGAGUGAUGAAGGCUUUCGGGUCGUAAAACUCUGUUGUUAGGGAAGAACAAGUGCUAGUUGAAUAAGCUGGCACCUUGACGGUACCUAACCAGAAAGCCACGGCUAACUACGUGCCAGCCGCCGCAGUAA
rnacentral:rRNA from 1 species